ACACCUCAACUCUCAUGGCUUGCCGUGAUGAGCUUGGACUUUGGGGGUCUUGCUGGCCUGUGAGUCAGCUCCUCUCAAAUGAAUUAGCUUGCCAGUGUUUGGUGGCAUCACAGGUGUGAUAACUAUCUACGCUUGUGGUUCUUCCAUCAGGUAACCUUCAGCAGUGGAGGUUCACUGGAGCUCACAGAUGUCUCUCCUUUGUGAGGACAGAUUUUGACC
rnacentral:misc_RNA from 1 species